GCUGUUUGGGUGCUGGUGUCUUGUGACGUGUUUUGAUGCCUCUUAGCCGGACCUGAUUUCCCUCUUUCUCCGGGUGCUUUUCUGGGUGUUCUUGCGGUGCUUUCUUGUCUUAACCACUUUCUCUUUUUUUGUUUUUUCUUCUUGAUUGUUUUUUUCUUGUGUCCUGUGUCCCCUUUUUUCCUCUUUUUUGCUGUUUAGGGUCGUCUUUUCUUUUUGUGGGCCUGUGCGGGGUCCAUUGGUUUCGCUUUUUAAUGAGUUUUUACUUACAUAGAGUCGGUGGUGUGUCAUGCAUGAAAAGUUUAUUAUCGUAGUUUUCCUGCUUAUUUUGUGUUUUCUUGGAUCUUUUGUGGCUGAACGUCUUGGAGGGAAAGCCAGUGUUCAUUCUUGUAUUAUUGAUGGAAGAAAUUAACGAACUGUUAGGAAAAUUAAAUUUUUCGGAGGAAGAAUCUUCCUUGGUUGUUAAUACAGGGGUAGUGGAUGGGGUUC
rnacentral:lncRNA from 1 species